GUUUUCUCCAGCGUCGGCAAACAUACUCCCUGCUACUUUGUAUCUGUCACUAGACAUUGGUUCCAGUUCAGUAAAGUGCUUGAACGCAAGGUUCCCUCUCGUCAGGUCACCAUGUGUCCGUACCCAAUUAGGCUUUUCUGGCAUUGACAUGAUGAGCUCUUCCGCCUCUUCCAGCCACCCGGCAUUGACAUAUAGAUGCUGACCUGGUAGAGAAGAACCUGCAGACAAGAUGACCUUGUGUUCGUCUGGAAAUUGGAGUCGAUUAUUGGGUGCUCUGCCUCCAGAGCUUUCAAUAGCACAUUAGGAAC